AAAAAUAACGGAGCGCGAGCGUCAAAGGCGGCGGUGAAUUUAAUACAUUUAUUGGCGCGUCCGGUAGUGUCGUCGCAGUGGGGGAGGAGGUCGUGUGCGUAAGGAGUUAAUGAAGAGUGCCAGUCCAAAUUUAAAAUUGACAUAGUGGCCUAUAUUCGUCUUACGUUAUGCAAAGUUUCGAUACGCGUAUUAUCGUGCAUAGCGCAGUAAAGGAUUUUUGCGUCACAGUCGUCGCACUGAUGAUGCACGGAUUGCAUCCAAUCACAGCGAUUGUUUUGUCUCUUCCAUCAGGGUAGUUAGCGCAGUCGUGCUCCUCUACGGCGACGUUAGUCGAACAGGACCGACCACGUACUCUGCUCCUCUACGUCUAUACUCGUCAGUAUCGUGUUGAUAGUGUGGCAGAACGAACAAAACCGGGAGCCCGCUAAUCCAUCCCGGUCUCUAUUUACCUUUAGUUUAGUCGUAGUUCGAGAUCUAUCAUAGAGUUUGUUAUGGAGCCUCAAAACCAGGAGAUUGUAGCUAGUGGUUCCCCGGCUGAAGUUCCAAACGAUCCAGGAAAAAUGUUUAUCGGUGGCCUCAGCUGGCAAACUAGUCCAGGCAGCCAACCCGUAUAAGUAAGCACCCCAAUAUUAAACGAAGAAAGGAAGUAUUAAAGUAGGUGGGCGCGACUACGUUUAUAUUGAUGAAGAAUAUUUUGUACAUUUUUAUUUUAUUAUUUUCUUUUAUUUUCGUUAACACUACAACGCAAAUAAAAUUUAUUUUUUCGUGCAGUUGGUUUGGUACUUACUAAUUUAUCAACCCUAGUAAUUCUAUUUAUCAAACGUUUUGUAAUUCUAUGAAGAUAAAACCAGAAGCAGUUAUUUAUUUCGUGUGUUAUUGACCAAGCAACAAUCAGAAUUUCGACUGUGAUGUAAAA